AUGAGCACCGCCUCCGCCGACGUCGGGGACGCCGGCGAUGGCGCCUCCUCUGCCGCCACAGCGCCCGCUGGCAGGAGGAUCCCGCCGGCCUCGUCCAUGCCGUGGGUCCGCAACCUCCGCCGCUUCGUCGGCACGGGCGCCGGCCUCGGAUCCGAGGCCCUUAUGGAAUUGGAAACGAAAAGGAUAUUGCUUGAGAUUUUUAAGGAGCGGCAGCGAAAGAGCGCUGAAGCUGGUUCCAUCCCAAGUUUUUACAAGAAGAAACCUGAAGAUGGAUCUAUUAGCAAUAGAGUCCAGAGGUUGGCCAAGUACAGAUUUCUAAAGAAACAAUCAGAACUUCUACUUAAUGCUGAUGAUCUCGAUGCCAUGUGGGUUUGUCUCAGAGAAAAUUGUGUUAUUGACGAUGCUACUGGUGCUGAAAAGAUGAAUUAUGAAGAUUUCUGCCAUAUUGCCACAGUGUGCACAGAGCAAAUUGGCCAGAAAUGCAAACGCUUCUUUAGCCCUUCGAACUUUAUGAAGUUCGAGAAGGAUGAUUCUGGGAGAAUUGCAAUCUUACCAUUCUAUCUUUAUGUUAUGCGAACAGUUUCUCUUACUCAAGCAAGAAUUGAUAUGAGUGAACUUGAUGAGGAUUCUGAUGGUUUCCUUCAACCUCAUGAAAUGGAAGCAUACAUCAGAGGACUUAUUCCCAAUUUGGCACAACUGCGUGACAUGCCAUCAGCCUUUGUUCAAAUGUACUGCCGCAUAGCUGCACGGAAGUUCUUUUUCUUCUGUGAUCCACACAGACGAGGGAAAGCAUGCAUAAAGAAAGUAUUGUUGAGCAAUUGUCUUCAAGAGCUAAUGGAAUUGCAUCAGGAGAGUGAGGAAGAGGUAACGGAUACCGAGCAGGCUGAAAAUUGGUUUUCCUUGACUUCAGCUCAGCGCAUAUGUGAUAUGUUCCUUGCACUAGACAAAGAUACAAAUGGCACACUGAGCAAACAAGAGCUGAAGGAAUAUGCUGAUGGCACACUAACAGAAAUCUUCGUCGAAAGAGUUUUUGAUGAACAUGUACGCCGAAGCAAAGUUGGAGGUGGCAACAGUCGUGAGAUGGAUUUUGAGAGCUUUCUCGACUUUGUUUUGGCCCUAGAGAACAAAGACACCCCUGAAGGGCUGACAUACUUAUUUAGAUGCCUUGAUCUCAACGGAAGGGGAUUCCUGACAACUGCUGAUAUUCAUACUCUAUUUAGAGAUGUGCACCAGAAGUGGAUCGAGGGGGGGAACUACGAGCUUUGCAUCGAAGACGUAAGGGAUGAAAUCUGGGACAUGGUGAAACCAGCUGACCCUCUCAGGAUCGCACUCGCGGAUCUCCUUUCCUGCAAGCAAGGCGGGACUAUUGCCAGCAUGCUUAUAGAUGUCCGAGGCUUCUGGGCCCACGACAACAGAGAGAACCUCCUCCAGGAAGAGGAGGAGCAAGUGGAAGAGGCUUGA
rnacentral:rRNA from 1 species